GUUUGAUCCUGGCUCAGGACGAACGCUGGCGGCGUGCCUAAUACAUGCAAGUCGAACGCUUCUUUCCUCCCGAGUGCUUGCACUCAAUUGGAAAGAGGAGUGGCGGACGGGUGAGUAACACGUGGGUAACCUACCCAUCAGAGGGGGAUAACACUUGGAAACAGGUGCUAAUACCGCAUAACAGUUUAUGCCGCAUGGCAUAAGAGUGAAAGGCGCUUUCGGGUGUCGCUGAUGGAUGGACCCGCGGUGCAUUAGCUAGUUGGUGAGGUAACGGCUCACCAAGGCCACGAUGCAUAGCCGACCUGAGAGGGUGAUCGGCCACACUGGGACUGAGACACGGCCCAAACUCCUACGGGAGGCAGCAGUAGGGAAUCUUCCACAAUGGACGCAAGUCUGAUGGAGCAACGCCGCGUGAGUGAAGAAGGCUUUCGGGUCGUAAAACUCUGUUGUUAGAGAAGAACAAGGACGUUAGUAACUGAACGUCCCCUGACGGUAUCUAACCAGAAAGCCACGGCUAACUACGUGCCAGCAGCCGCGGUAAUACGUAGGUGGCAAGCGUUAUCCGGAUUUAUUGGGCGUAAAGCGAGCGCAGGCGGUUUUUUAAGUCUGAUGUGAAAGCCCCCGGCUCAACCGGGGAGGGUCAUUGGAAACUGGGAGACUUGAGUGCAGAAGAGGAGAGUGGAAUUCCAUGUGUAGCGGUGAAAUGCGUAGAGAUUAGGAAGAACACCAGUGGCGAAGGCGACUUUCUGGACUGUAACUGACGCUGAGGCUCGAAAGCGUGGGGAGCAAACAGGAUUAGAUACCCUGGUAGUCCACGCCGUAAACGAUGAGUGCUAAGUGUUGGAGGGUUUCCGCCCUUCAGUGCUGCAGCAAACGCAUUAAGCACUCCGCCUGGGGAGUACGACCGCAAGGUUGAAACUCAAAGGAAUUGACGGGGGCCCGCACAAGCGGUGGAGUAUGUGGUUUAAUUCGACGCAACGCGAAGAACCUUACCUGGUCUUGACAUCCACGGAAGUUUUCAGAGAUGAGAAUGUGCCUUCGGGAACCGUGAGACAGGUGCUGCAUGGCUGUCGUCAGCUCGUGCCGGGAAAUGUUGGGUUAAGUCCCGCAACGAGCGCAACCCUUAUCCUUUGUUGCCAGCGGUCCGGCCGGGAACUCAAAGGAGACUGCCAGUGAUAAACUGGAGGAAGGUGGGGAUGACGUCAAGUCAUCAUGGCCCUUACGACCAGGGCUACACACGUGCUACAAUGGCGCAUACAAAGAGAAGCGACCUCGCGAGAGCAAGCGGACCUCAUAAAGUGCGUCGUAGUCCGGAUUGGAGUCUGCAACUCGACUCCAUGAAGUCGGAAUCGCUAGUAAUCGUGGAUCAGAAUGCCACGGUGAAUACGUUCCCGGGCCUUGUACACACCGCCCGUCACACCAUGGGAGUGGGUUGCAAAAGAAGUAGGUAGCUUAACCUUCGGGAGGGCGCUUACCACUUUGUGAUUCAUGACUGGGGUGAAGUCGUAACAAGGUAACC
rnacentral:rRNA from 1 species